rnacentral:rRNA from 1 species
AAAAAACUAACCAUAUGCUUGUGACGAAUACCUAGGUACCUAUAAACGAAGAAGGGCGUUUACUACUAACGAAAUUUUCUGAUUAAAUUAUUAGAAAUUCCCGAAUAGAGUAAUCUUUAAAACUACUUGUUUUAUUUCAAGUAAGAGACAACCUGGAGAACUGAAACAUCUUAGUAUCCAGAGGAAAAUAGACAAAAAAUGUCAAUUCCCUUAGUAGUGGUGAGCGAAACGGGAAAUAGCCUAAAUCAUUUAAUUUAAAUUAAAUGAGGUUGUGGGUUUAAUAAAAAAUAAUAACUUUUUAAACCCAAGUAACAUGGGAAAUGUUUAUCCUGUGUGAAUCAGCAAGAACCACCUUGCAAGGCUAAAUAUUAAAAGGUAACCGAUAGUGAACAAGUACCGUGAGGGAAAGGUAAAAUAAAAUAUCUCUCCUAGCAGAGAGUAAAUAACAUGAAAUUGCAAGCUAUCAAAUUGUAGGAGGAGAAAAAAAAUAAUCUCUGACUGCGUGCUUGUUGAAGAAUGAGCCAGCGACUCAUAAGUAAUGGCUUAAGGUUAAGGUUAUAAUAACUGGAGCCAUAGCGAAAGCAAGUCUAAAAAAGGCAAAAAAAAAAGUCACUACUUAUGGACCCGAAACUGAGUGAUCUAUCCAUGAACAGGAUGAAGCUUAGAUAAAACUAAGUGGAGGUCCGAACCGAUUGAUGUUGCAAAAUCAACGGAUGAUUUGUGGUUAGCGGUGAAAUGCCAAUCGAACUUAGAGCUAGCUGGUUCCCCCUGAAAUGUAUUUAAGUACAGCGGUUGAUUUGAUUGAAAAAUAUUUCCAGGGGUAAAGCACUGUUUUGAUGCGGAAAUAAAAAAAAAAAGCCAAAUUAAAGCAAACUCUGAAUACUGGAUAAAAAAUUCAACUAGUGAGACAAUGUGGGAUAAGCUUCAUUGUUGAGAGGGAAACAGCCCAGAUCAUUAGUUAAGGCCCCAAAAUGAUUACUUAGUGGUGAAGGAGGUAAAAAUGCAAAGAUAAUCAGUAGGUUUGCCCAGAAGCAGCUAUCCUUAAAAGAGUGCGUAAUAGCUCACUGAUUGAUUUAUUAGAGCAGUUUUUGUACCGAAAAUGUACGGGGCUAAGUAAUCUGCCGAAACUGUGAGAUAUAUAUAUCGGUAAGGGGGCGUUCUGUAUUUAUUAUAUUUUGUAUACAGAAGUGAGAAUGUUGGCUUGAGUAACCUAAACAUUGGUGAGAAUCCAAUGCCCCGAAAACCUAAGGAUUCCUAUGCACGGUUUGUCCACAUAGGGUAAGUCAGGUCCUAAAAUUAGAUCGAAAGAUGCAGUUGAUGGAUUACCGGUUAAUAUUCCUGUACUAUUUCUUAUUUAUUAUAAUAUAUAAUUAUAAUGUGUAUUUCAUUAGGGACGAAGAAGGCUAAGUUAACUGAAAAUAUGGUUUUAUCAGUUCAAGGAUUCAAAUUAUUUAUGAUGAGAUCCAAGUAUCAAGCUUUAAUGCAGAAAUAAUGUAUGUCAUGCUUCCUGGAAAAGCUAAAAUAAAAAUGCAUAAAAUAAAGAAAUAUCUGUACCAUAAACUUACACAGGUGGGUAGGUAGAAUAUACCAAGGGGUUCGAGAUAACUCUUCUCUAAGGAACUCGGCAAAAUAACUUCGUAACUUCGGGAAAAGAAGUACCUAUGCAAAUAGGUUGCAGUGACUAGGCCCAGACGACUGUUUAACAAAAACACAGGUCUCCGCAAAGUCGUAAGACCAUGUAUGGGGGCUGACGCCUGCCCAGUGCUGGAAGGUUAAAGAAGUAGGUUAUCUGAUGUCAGAAAAAGCUUACAACUAAAGCCCCAGUAAACGGCGGCCGUAACUAUGACGGUCCUAAGGUAGCGAAAUUCCUUGUCGGGUAAGUUCCGACCUGCAUGAAAGGCGUAACGAUCUGGGUACUGUCUCAGAGAGAGACUCGGUGAAAUAAAAAUGUUUGUGAAGAUGCAAACUAUUUACACCUGGACAGAAAGACCCUCUGAAGCUUUACUGUUCCCUAUUAUUGAAUUUGUAUUUUUUCUGUGCAGUAAUAGGUGGGAGGUAAAAAUACCAUUAAUGAGAUACCACUCUGAUAAAAUCCAAAUCCUAACUCUACUAAAAAAAAGAAGGACAGUGUUAGGUAGACAGUUUAUAUGGGGCGUAGGCCUCCAAAAAAGUAACGGAGGCGUACAAAGGUUUUCUUAAACCAUUUUUUAAAAUUGGUUGUUAAGUGUAAAGGCAAAAGUAAGCUUAACUGUGAGACCUACUUGUCGAACAGAGACGAAAGUCGGUCUUAGUGAUCCGAUAAUACCGUGUGGAAGGGUUAUCGCUAAACGGAUAAAAGCUACUCGAGGGGUAACAGGCUGAUCUUCCCCAAGAGUUCACAUCGACGGGUAGGUUUGGCACCUCGAUGUCGGCUCGUCACUACCUGGAGCAGUAGCAUGUUCCAAGGGUUGGGCUGUUCGCCCAUUAAAGUGGUACGUGAGCUGGGUUCAGAACGUCGUGAGACAGUUCGGUCCAUAUCCGGUGUAAACGUUGAAGCAUUGAUGGUUGUCUUUCCCAGUACGAGAGGAUCGGAAAGGACGCACCUCUGGUUUACCAGUUAUCAUUCCCGUGGUAAAUGCUGGGUAGCUAUGUGUGGAGUGGAUAACUGCUGAAAGCAUAUAAGUAGGAAACCCAUCCAAAGAUGAGUG